rnacentral:rRNA from 1 species
AGUGAACGCUGGCGGUAGGCCUAACACAUGCAAGUCGAACGGCAGCACAGUAAGAGCUUGCUCUUACGGGUGGCGAGUGGCGGACGGGUGAGGAAUACAUCGGAAUCUACUUUUUCGUGGGGGAUAACGUAGGGAAACUUACGCUAAUACCGCAUACGACCUACGGGUGAAAGCAGGGGAUCUUCGGACCUUGCGCGAUUGAAUGAGCCGAUGUCGGAUUAGCUAGUUGGCGGGGUAAAGGCCCACCAAGGCGACGAUCCGUAGCUGGUCUGAGAGGAUGAUCAGCCACACUGGAACUGAGACACGGUCCAGACUCCUACGGGAGGCAGCAGUGGGGAAUAUUGGACAAUGGGCGCAAGCCUGAUCCAGCCAUACCGCGUGGGUGAAGCAGGCCUUCGGGUUGUAAAGCCCUUUUGUUGGGAAAGAAAAGCAGCAGGUUAAUACCCCGCUGUUCUGACGGUACCCAAAGAAUAAGCACCGGCUAACUUCGUG